UUCCCUGUGAGCUCUGCUGGCUCCCGGGCCUGUUUCUUCCCCAGCUGUGAGGUUCAAAACUGCUGAUUCAUGCUCCUGCUCCAAGCCUAAUGACCGUGAACAUGCUCUGAUUUUUUUUUCUUCAGGCACAUUUUCCUGGUAACCAGGCGGAUGAUGUGCUAAUGCAAAUUGGCAGACUUGGACUGAAACUCCAAAAAUUGGAUCUGCCACGUGGAAGAACAAAAGGACAAAAGAGACUUCAAGGCUUCCCUUUUGCUUUGGGUUUCCAUUUCUGUUGCAAUGGUAGACACUGGCUGAAUGAUACAAUAAUAUUGCCCUGUGUUGCUGCACGAGUGAUUAAAGUGCAAGGGCACAGUAAGUCCUGCUUUUCUACAGCCAUAUCACAGGAAAGCACAGAAGAUUCUACAGAAAGAACAAGCCUUCUGCAACACGCAGAUAUUCCCAGAAAGACAAUUCCAAGUCUGUUUUAUUAG
ensembl:lncRNA